UACGUAGGGGGCAAGCGUUAUCCGGGUUUACUGGGUGUAAAGGGAGCGUAGACGGCCAGACAAGUCUGAAGUGAAAAUCCAGCGCUUAACGCUGGAAGUGCUUUGGAAACUGCCGGGCUGGAGUGCAGGAGGGGCAGGCGGAAUUCCUAGUGUAGCGGUGAAAUGCGUAGAUAUUAGGAGGAACACCAGUGGCGAAGGCGGCCUGCUGGACUGCAGCUGACGUUGAGGCUCGAAGGCGUGGGGAGCAAACAGG
rnacentral:rRNA from 1 species